rnacentral:rRNA from 1 species
CGCGUAGACGGUUUUGUAAGUCAGAUGUGAAAUCCCUGGGCUCAACCUGGGAACUGCAUUUGAAACUGCAUGGCUAGAGUAUGGUAGAGGGAAGUGGAAUUUCCGGUGUAGCGGUGAAAUGCGUAGAUAUCGGAAGGAACACCAGUGGCGAAAGCGACUUCCUGGACCAAUACUGACGUUCAUGUGCGAAAGCGUGGGGAGCAAACAGGAUUAGAUACCCUGGUAGUCCACGCCAUAAACGAUGACAACUAGAUGUUGGGAGGGUCUGCCUCUCGGUGUCGCAGCUAACGCGUUAAGUUGUCCGCCUGGGGAUACGGCCGCAAGGUUGAA